GAGCCGGCAAAAUUGAAUUUUCUGUGCUGGGCUGUGCUGUAUUGUGGAAGUAACAAUCAAAAGUUUGUUCUAUUCCGAGUAAGUGAUUUGUAUAAGCGAAAUGGAGGAAUUCAGCCAAAUAAAGGAGGAAGGAUUCACUCCAUCAAUAAAGGUAGAAGAGUUUAUAAUAACCGAUAUUGUGACCACGGAUGAGGAAACCUCGCUCGCCAGCAGUGAUCGGUGCUCCGGUGAGCCCAUUGCACAGAACGCCCUGAGGAAAGGUUCAACUGAUGUGAAACAAGAUCCUGUGACGGACAGCACCGAUGAUGUCGAGACUACAGCAGCUGGUGACGAAAAUCUAGCUUCUAUCUCCAGCAACAUGGAAAGUUCAAAGGCAAACCGGACUGCUAACAGCCGAAGCGAUAGAUCAGCGAUGUACACCUGCGACACAUGCGGCAAACAGUACCAGACACCAAGAUCACUUCAUUUGCAUAUGAAGAUUCAUCAAACUGACAAAACAAAAAACGAGUGCACGAUUUGUGGAAAGGAAUGCCCGACCAGAUCAUUACUUAUUAGGCAUAUGGUUUGUCAUGCAGAACGGUCUCUCUAUUGCGAUAUUUGCGGUGCAUCAUUCAAAUCAACUUCAAAUCUGAAAUCCCAUAAGAAAACACACAGUUCCGAAAGACCGCAUGAAUGCAAAAUUUGCGGAAAAAGGUUUCUUGUUCCUUCUGCGCUGAAGCAGCACUUGUUGCACCAUACUAAUGCACGGUCUUUUAAGUGCAAUAUUUGCGGUCAAUCAUUGAGUACAGAAUAUACUCUUAGAAAUCAUAAACAAAUGCAUAAUUUAAAUCGUGAGACCAUUACAUCCGAGCAAAAUCAAGUGGAUGCGCACACUGAAGAAAAACUUUUCAAGUGCGAUAUUUGCGUUUUUUCCUAUAAAACAGCUCAUGGUUUGAGAAAACAUAAGGAAAAGCACACCUCGGAGAUUCCGUUCAAGUGCGAAAUUUGCGAUAGAAAAUUUCUUUUUUCUUACAACCUGAAGCAGCACAUGCGUGGACACACAAAUGAACGGCCGUUUAAAUGCAAUAGUUGCGGUUCAUCAUUCAAGAGAUCUCAUCAUCUACGCACUCAUGAAAAAACGCACACUUCAUAGUACGCUAUUUACUCGGAUAAAUGACCGUACAAAUGCAGUAUUGGCGUUUUCACAGGCAAGACAAAAACUUUGUUACGGAUGUACACUGAAAAAACUGCGCACGCUCCAUCCAAGUGUUUUAUCAAUUGGAAAUGUUAAUGACUCUGCAUUGUUAUUUGUAGAAUUUCUUUCAUCGAAUUCAAUGAUUUUUCACUUUCGUUUCAAGUUGUCGCGCACAUCAACUUACAUCCAUGAGCCGCACUCCACUAACGUAUGAUUUCAACAUCCCUUUCAGGUGAAUUCCACUUGAAUCUGCCCCACUGUUUCAUCACAGUGAUUAUCAUGUGCGAAACACUUUCAUUUACGUAUGAUUCCAACAUCCCUUUCAAGAGAAUUGCACAUGAAUCUGCCCCACUGUUUCAUUACAGUGAUUAUCAUGUGCGAAACACCUUCAGUUGAUUUGUUUUGUUUUUAUAUGUCAAAUGAUGUGCCGUUUGGGCUGAAAAGUAGAAAAAUGGCGACAGAUGAAAAGUAAACGAGUGUCAUACGACUCAGAAGUUUGAGGAUUUUCCAGACUACAAUUGUAAAUUUUUGGAAGCACAAGAUCACAAAGAUUCUGAUGAAAACAUCUUUACGCUAGAGGC